UUAAAACAUUUUGACUAAUAAUUUUUCCUCUUAAGAUAAUGACAAAAUUCGAAUUCUCAGCCUAGAAAUGUUAUUUCCAACUCAACUGUAAUUCGUAUUUUCGUCCAACGAACGAAGACUUUCUUUUUUUUUUUAAUUCUUAAAGCUCUCCUUUUGCCACGUUGCCGUAAUCCGCCGGCCAAACCAAACGGAUCCCGUCCUCGUCAACCAUCGUCGUCGACGAAACGAAAGUCAAUUUUAAAGCUAAUCCAAAAUUUCCUCAACAACCAAACGGACCAUUCUCUCGGUAUCGAUUUUAUCUUAUCAUAAAUGCCCUUUAUGGGUGCGUCGUUUCCAUGCAUUGUUUCCUUCAUUUCCUUAAAGUUUCCCAUUCCUUUAUCACCCUGCGCCUAUUUCCAGAUUUGAUUCCCAUCGUCCUGGGCCCUCCUCUUUUUGAAUUCCCUCUAUUCUCGAUAGUUGACUCCUCCCUCACUCCAGCUGCCGUGAUUUUCGUUGAAUCCUUCCUGAAAUCUUGCCAUCUAUUCUUCU
rnacentral:lncRNA from 1 species